rnacentral:rRNA from 1 species
CGGGACGGGUGAGUAAUGUCUGGGAAACUGCCUGAUGGGGGGGGAUAACUACUGGAAACGGUAGCUAAUACCGCAUAACGUCGCAAGACCAAGAGGGGACCUUCGGGCCUCUUGCCAUCGGAUGUGCCCAGAUGGGAUUAGCUAGUAGGUGGGGUAACGGCUCACCUAGGCGACGAUCCCUAGCUGGUCUGAGAGGAUGACCAGCCACACUGGAACUGAGACACGGUCCAG